rnacentral:rRNA from 1 species
UGCCAGACUCCUACGGGAGGCAGCAGUGGGGAAUAUUGGGCAGUGGGCGCAAGCCUGACCCAGCAACGCCGCGUGAAGGAAGAAGGCUUUCGGGUUGUAAACUUCUUUUAAGAGGGAAGAGUAGAAGACGGUACCUCUUGAAUAAGCCACGGCUAACUACGUGCCAGCAGCCGCGGUAAUACGUAGGUGGCAAGCGUUGUCCGGAUUUACUGGGUGUAAAGGGCGCGUAGGCGGACUGUCAAGUCAGUCGUGAAAUACCGAAGCUUAACUUCGGGGCUGCGAUUGAAACUGACAGCCUUGAGUAUCGGAGAGGAAAGCGGAAUUCCUAGUGUAGCGGUGAAAUGCGUAGAUAUUAGGAGGAACACCAGUGGCGAAGGCGGCUUUCUGGACGACAACUGACGCUGAGGCGCGAAAGUGUGGGGAGCAAACAGGAUUAGAUACCCGCGUACC